ACGAAAGCGUGGGUAGCAAACAGGAUUAGAUACCCUGGUAGUCCACGCUGUAAACGAUGAGUGCUAGGUGUUGGGUAGCGAUACUCAGUGCCGCAGUUAACACAAUAAGCACUCCGCCUGGGGAGUACGUACGCAAGUAUGAAACUCAAAGGAAUUGACGGGGACCCGCACAAGCAGCGGAGCAUGUGGUUUAAUUCGAAGCAACGCGAAGAACCUUACCAAGGUUUGACAUCCCCUUGACAGAUGCAGAGAUGUGUCCUCUCCUUCGGGAGCAAGGGAGACAGGUGGUGCAUGGUUGUCGUCAGCUCGUGUCGUGAGAUGUUGGGUUAAGUCCCGCAACGAGCGCAACCCUUAUCCUUAGUUGCCAGCAGGUAAAGCUGGGCACUCUAAGGAGACUGCCGGUGAUAAACCGGAGGAAGGUGGGGAUGACGUCAAAUCAUCAUGCCCCUUAUAUCUUGGGCUACACACGUGCUACAAUGGUCGGUACAACGGGCAGCAAAGGAGCGAUCCCAAGCGAAUCCCAAUAAACCGAUCCCAGUUCGGAUUGUAGGCUGCAGCUCGCCUACAUGAAGUCGGAGUUGCUAGUAAUCGCGAAUCAGAACGUCGCGGUGAAUGCGUUCCCGGGUCUUGUACACACCGCCCGUCACACCAUGGAAGUUGGUAAUACCCGAAGUCGCUGAGCUAACCGCAAGGGGGCAGGCGCCGAAGGUAGGAUCAAUGACUGGGGUGAAGUCGUAACAAGGUAGCCGUAUCGGAAGGUGCGGCUGGAUCACCUCCUU
rnacentral:rRNA from 1 species